GAACGCACAUUGCGCCCCUUGGUAUUCCAGGGGGCAUGCCUGUUCGAGCGUCAUUUGUACCCUCAAGCUAUGCUUGGUGUUGGGUGAUUGUCUGGCCUUUGUGCCUAGACUCGCCUCAAAGUAAUUGGCAGCCAAUGUUGAAGUAGGAGCACGCAGCACAUUUUGCGAGCGAGUACCCAAACUACGGCGUCCAUAAGCACUUCUCACUUUUGACCUCGGAUCAGGUAGGGAUACCCGCUGAACUUAAG
rnacentral:misc_RNA from 1 species